CGGGUGAGUAACACGUGGAUAACCUACCUAUAAGACUGGGAUAACUUCGGGAAACCGGAGCUAAUACCGGAUAAUAUAUUGAACCGCAUGGUUCAAUAGUGAAAGACGGUUCUGCUGUCACUUAUAGAUGGAUCCGCGCCGCAUUAGCUAGUUGGUAAGGUAACGGCUUACCAAGGCAACGAUGCGUAGCCGACCUGAGAGGGUGAUCGGCCACACUGGAACUGAGACACGGUCCAG
rnacentral:rRNA from 1 species